rnacentral:rRNA from 1 species
AUCCCGACUUACCAACCCGAUGCAAACUACGAAUACCGAAGAAUGUUAUCACGGGAGACACACGGCGGGUGCUAACGUCCGUCGUGAAGAGGGAAACAACCCAGACCGCCAGCUAAGGUCCCAAAGUCAUGGUUAAGUGGGAAACGAUGUGGGAAGGCACAGACAGCCAGGAUGUUGGCUUAGAAGCAGCCAUCAUUUAAAGAAAGCGUAAUAGCUCACUGGUCGAGUCGGCCUGCGCGGAAGAUGUAACGGGGCUAAACCAUGCACCGAAGCUGCGGCAGCGACACUAUGUGUUGUUGGGUAGGGGAGCG